UGCAGUCGAGCGAACUGAUUAGAAGCUUGCUUCUAUGACGUUAGCGGCGGACGGGUGAGUAACACGUGGGCAACCUGCCUGUAAGACUGGGAUAACUUCGGGAAACCGAAGCUAAUACCGGAUAGGAUCUUCUCCUUCAUGGGAGAUGAUUGAAAGAUGGUUUCGGCUAUCACUUACAGAUGGGCCCGCGGUGCAUUAGCUAGUUGGUGAGGUAACGGCUCACCAAGGCAACGAUGCAUAGCCGACCUGAGAGGGUGAUCGGCCACACUGGGACUGAGACACGGCCCAGACUCCUACGGGAGGCAGCAGUAGGGAAUCUUCCGCAAUGGACGAAAGUCUGACGGAGCAACGCCGCGUGAGUGAUGAAGGCUUUCGGGUCGUAAAACUCUGUUGUUAGGGAAGAACAAGUACGAGAGUAACUGCUCGUACCUUGACGGUACCUAACCAGAAAGCCACGGCUAACUACGUGCCAGCAGCCGCGGUAAUACGUAGGUGGCAAGCGUUAUCCGGAAUUAUUGGGCGUAAAGCGCGCGCAGGCGGUUUCUUAAGUCUGAUGUGAAAGCCCACGGCUCAACCGUGGAGGGUCAUUGGAAACUGGGGAACUUGAGUGCAGAAGAGAAAAGCGGAAUUCCACGUGUAGCGGUGAAAUGCGUAGAGAUGUGGAGGAACACCAGUGGCGAAGGCGGCUUUUUGGUCUGUAACUGACGCUGAGGCG
rnacentral:rRNA from 2 species